rnacentral:rRNA from 1 species
AACGAACGCUGGCGGCAGGCUUAACACAUGCAAGUCGAACGCCCCGCAAGGGGAGUGGCAGACGGGUGAGUAACGCGUGGGAAUCUACCUAGUUCUACGGAACAACAGUUGGAAACGACUGCUAAUACCGUAUACGCCCUACGGGGGAAAGAUUUAUCGGAAUUAGAUGAGCCCGCGUAAGAUUAGCUAGUUGGUGGGGUAAUGGCCUACCAAGGCGACGAUCUUUAGCUGGUCUGAGAGGAUGAUCAGCCACACUGGGACUGAGACACGGCCCAGACUCCUACGGGAGGCAGCAGUGGGGAAUAUUGGACAAUGGGCGCAAGCCUGAUCCAGCCAUGCCGCGUGAGUGAUGAAGGCCUUAGGGUUGUAAAGCUCUUUCACCGAUGAAGAUAAUGACGGUAGUCGGAGAAGGAGCCCCGGCUAACUUCGUGCCAGCAGCCGCCGUAACAC